UACGUAGGGUGCGAGCGUUGUCCGUAAUUAUUGGGCGUAAAGCGCUCGUAGGCGGUCUGUCGCGUCUGCUGUGAAAACCCGAGGCUCAACCUCGGGCCUGCAGUGGGUACGGGCAGACUAGAGUGCGGUAGGGGAGAAUGGAAUUCCUGGUGUAGCGGUGGAAUGCGCAGAUAUCAGGAGGAACACCGAUGGCGAAGGCAGUUCUCUGGGCCGUAACUGACGCUGAGGAGCGAAAGCGUGGGGAGCGAACAGG
rnacentral:rRNA from 1 species